UUGAUGGACAUUUGGGUUGGUUCCAAGUC
rnacentral:piRNA from 1 species